UGGGGAAUAUUGGACAAUGGGCGCAAGCCUGAUCCAGCAAUGCCGCGUGUGUGAAGAAGGCCUGCGGGUUGUAAAGCACUUUCAGUGGGGAAGAAGGCCUUAGCAUUAAUACUGCUGAGGAUUGACGUUACCCACAGAAGAAGCACCGGCUAACUCUGUGCCAGCAGCCGCGGUAAUACAGAGGGUGCGAGCGUUAAUCGGAAUUACUGGGCGUAAAGGGUGCGUAGGUGGUUAAUUAAGUCAGAUGUGAAAUCCCUGGGCUCAACCUAGGAAUUGCGUUUGAAACUGGUAAGCUAGAGUACAGUAGAGGGAAGUGGAAUUUCCGGUGUAGCGGUGAAAUGCGUAGAUAUCGGAAGGAACAUCAGUGGCGAAGGCGACUUCCUGGACUGUUACUGACACUGAGGCACGAAAGCGUGGGGAGCAAACAGGAUUAGAUACCCCCGUAGUCC
rnacentral:rRNA from 1 species